rnacentral:rRNA from 1 species
UGAACGCUGGCGGCAUGCUUUACACAUGCAAGUCGAACGGUAACAGGUUAAGCUGACGAGUGGCGAACGGGUGAGUAAUGCAUCGGAACGUGCCCGAUCGUGGGGGAUAACGCAGCGAAAGCUGCGCUAAUACCGCAUACGAUCUGAGGAUGAAAGCGGGGGACCGUAAGGCCUCGCGCGAUCGGAGCGGCCGAUGUCAGAUUAGGUAGUUGGUGGGGUAAAGGCUCACCAAGCCGACGAUCUGUAGCCGGUCUGAGAGGACGACCAGCCACACUGGGACUGAGACACGGCCCAGACUCCUACGGGAGGCAGCAGUGGGGAAUUUUGGACAAAGGGCGCAAGCCUGAUCCAGCAAUGCCGCGUGCAGGAAGAAGGCCUUCGGGUUGUAAACUGCUUUUGUACGGAGCGAAAAGGCUCUCUCUAAUACAGGGGGCUCAUGACGGUACCGUAAGAAUAAGCACCGGCUAACUACGUG